CCUGUAGACUGGGAUAACUUCUUGGAAACCGGAGCUAAUACCGGAUAAUCCUUUCCCUCACAUGAGGGAAAGCUGAAAGACGGUUUCGGCUGUCACUUACAGAUGGGCCCGCGGCGCAUUAGCUAGUUGGUGAGGUAACGGCUCACCAAGGCGACGAUGCGUAGCCGACCUGAGAGGGUGAUCGGCCACACUGGGACUGAGACACGGCCCAGACUCCUACGGGAGGCAGCAGUAGGGAAUCUUCCGCAAUGGACGAAAGUCUGACGGAGCAACGCCGCGUGAGCGAUGAAGGCCUUCGGGUCGUAAAGCUCUGUUGUCAGGGAAGAACAAGUACCGGAGUAACUGCCGGUACCUUGACGGUACCUGACCAGAAAGCCACGGCUAACUACGUGCCAGCAGCCGCGGUAAUACGUAGGUGGCAAGCGUUGUCCGGAAUUAUUGGGCGUAAAGCGCGCGCAGGCGGUUCCUUAAGUCUGAUGUGAAAGCCCCCGGCUCAACCGGGGAGGGUCAUUGGGAAACUGGGGAACUUUGAGUGCAAAAAGAGGAGAGCGGAAUUUCCACGUGUAACGGGUGAAAAUGCGUAAAGAUGUGGGAGGAACACCAGUGGCGAAAGGCGGGCUUCUCUGGUCUGGUAACUGACGCUGGAGGCGCGAAAAGCGGUGGGGGAAGCGAAACAGGAUUUAGAUUACCCCUGGGUAGU
rnacentral:rRNA from 2 species